UCCGUAGGCGGGUAAUUAAGUCAGAGGUGAAAUCCCACAGCUCAACUGUGGAACUGCCUUUGAUACUGGUUGUCUUGAGUUAUAGUGAAGUAGAUAGAAUAUGUAGUGUAGCGGUGAAAUGCAUAGAUAUUACAUAGAAUACCGAUUGCGAAGGCAGUCUACUAACUGUAUACUGACGCUAAUGGACGAAAGCGUGGGGAGCGAACAGGAUUAGAUACCCUGGUAGUCC
rnacentral:rRNA from 1 species